rnacentral:rRNA from 1 species
GUGCCAGCAGCCGCGGUAAUACGUAGGGUGCGAGCGUUAAUCGGAAUUACUGGGCGUAAAGCGUGCGCAGGCGGUUAUGAAAGACAGGCGUGAAAUCCCCGGGCUUAACCUGGGAACGGCGCUUGUGACUCCAUGACUCGAGUACGGCAGAGGGGGGUGGAAUUCCACGUGUAGCAGUGAAAUGCGUAGAGAUGUGGAGGAACACCGAUGGCGAAGGCAGCCCCCUGGGCCGAUACUGACGCUCAUGCACGAAAGCGUGGGGAGCAAACAGGAUUAGAUACCCCCGUAGUCC